rnacentral:rRNA from 1 species
AUUGAACGCUGGCGGCAGGCCUAACACAUGCAAGUCGAGCGAGCGGCGGACGGGUGAGUAAUGCCUGGGAAUUGCCCAGUCGAGGGGGAUAACAGUUGGAAACGACUGCUAAUACCGCAUACGAUAGGAUUGCCCAGGUGUGAUUAGCUAGUUGGUGAGGUAAUGGAUCACCAAGGCGACGAUCCCUCGCUGGUCUGAGAGGAUGAUCAGCAACACUGGAACUGAGACACGGUCCAGACUCCUACGGGAGGUAGCAGUGGGGAAUAUGGCACAAUGGGGGAACCCCUGAUGCAGCCAUGCCGCGUGUGUGAAGAAGGCCUUCGGGUUGUAUAGCACUUUCAGCGAGGAGGCGUUACUCGCAGAAGAAGCACCGGCUAACUCCGUUCCAGCAGCCGCGGUAAUAC